rnacentral:rRNA from 1 species
GACAGAGGUGGCAAGCGUUGCUCGGAUUCACUGGGCUUAAAGGGCGCGUAGGCGGCUUUGUAAGUCCGAGGUGGAAUUCCACAGCUUAACUGUGGAACUGCCUUGGAAACUGCAAGGCUUGAGUCAGGUAGAGGGAGGCGGAAUUCCCGGUGUAGUGGUGAAAUACGUAGAUAUCUGGAAGAACACCAGUGGCGAAGGCGGCUACUUGGUUCGCAACUGACGCUGAGGCGCAAAAGCGUGGGGAGCAAACAGG